rnacentral:rRNA from 1 species
UGAGGAAUAUUGGUCAAUGGGCGAGAGCCUGAACCAGCCAAGUAGCGUGCAGGAUGACGGCCCUAUGGGUUGUAAACUGCUUUUAUAUGGGAAAAAAGUGAGGGACGUGUCCCUUAUUGCAUGUACCAUAUGAAUAAGGACCGGCUAAUUCCGUGCCAGCAGCCGCGGUAAUACGGAAGGUCCAGGCGUUAUCCGGAUUUAUUGGGUUUAAAGGGAGCGUAGGCUGUUUGUUAAGCGUGUUGUGAAAUGUAAGAGCUCAACUUUUAGAUUGCAGCGCGAACUGGCAGACUUGAGUGCGCACAACGUAGGCGGAAUUCAUGGUGUAGCGGUGAAAUGCUUAGAUAUCAUGACGAACUCCGAUUGCGAAGGCAGCUUACGGGAGCGCAACUGACGCUAAAGCUCGAAGGUGCGGGUAUCGAACAGG